CAUGGUGGCCAAACCUCCUCGUCAAAGCCUGAAAACAUCAGAUUUCAGGAGCAAAGCGAGGUCGGGCCUGGUUAGUACCUGAAUGGGAGACCGCUGGGAAUUCCAGGUGAGAGAGUCAGGUGCCACUGACA
rnacentral:rRNA from 1 species